rnacentral:rRNA from 1 species
AACGAACGCUGGCGGCAUGCCUAACACAUGCAAGUCGAACGAGACCUUCGGGGCUAGUGGCGCACGGGUGCGUAACGCGGGGGAACCUGCCCUUAGGUUCGGAAUAAGUCCCCGAAAGGGGUGCUAAUACCGGAUAAUGUCUUCGGACCAAAGAUUUAUCGCCUUUGGAUGGGCCCGCGUUGGAUUAGCUAGUUGGUAGGGUAAAAGCCUACCAAGGCGACGAUCCAUAGCUGGUCUGAGAGGAUGAUCAGCCACACUGGGACUGAGACACGGCCCAGACUCCUACGGGAGGCAGCAGUGGGGAAUAUUGGACAAUGGGCGAAAGCCUGAUCCAGCAAUGCCGCGUGAGUGAUGAAGGCCUUAGGGUUGUAAAGCUCUUUUACCCGGGAUGAUAAUGACAGUACCGGGAGAAUAAGCUCCGGCUAACUCCGUG